rnacentral:rRNA from 1 species
UACGUAGGAGACGAGCGUUGUCCGGAGUUACUGGGCGUAAAGAGCGCGCAGGCGGUCGUUCAAGUCGCGUGUGAAAGCCCCCGGCUCAACUGGGGAGGGUCACGCGAUACUGAUCGACUCGAAGGCAGGAGAGGGAAGUGGAAUUCCCGGUGUAGUGGUGAAAUGCGUAGAUAUCGGGAGGAACACCAGUGGCGAAGGCGACUUCCUGGCCUGUUCUUGACGCUGAGGCGCGAAAGCUAGGGGAGCAAACGGG